UCUUGCUUCAACAACACAAAUAAUAAAAUUGGAAUGAUACAGAGAUUACUAUGGCCACUGCAUGAGGAUGUCGUGCAAAUUCAUGAUCAAUGAAAAAAAGAU
rfam:Homo sapiens chromosome 8, GRCh38 reference primary assembly.